AUCCUCAAGUGUUUAUCAUAUAAAACCAGAUGAGAAUGACUAAUACUGAAAGAAAAAGCUUGAAGAUACGGAAGAACAAAACUCAGACUACAAGGAAAUGGGGAUACACUCAGAAAUUCUGCAGUAAUUUACAAGGUCUGUUAUUUCCUCUGCACGACAAAGUACCACCUCUAGACAAAGCGUCUUCAUAACGCCAUGAAAUUUUGGCAGCAGAAAAAAUACGGCAUUCAAGAACCUAAUGGAUGGUAAGAAGCCAGAUGAGAGGACUGCUGCUGACCCCACCCGCCACAAUUGAUCCCAUAACCCCUACCUGUCAGCCAGGGGAGGGAAACCCUUCACUGCUUUGUUCAAGCACACAAUAAAUUUGUCCUCCAUAGUA